rnacentral:miRNA from 1 species
GAGGUGGGAGGAUCGCUUGAGCCUGGGAGGUUGAGAUUGCAGUGAGCUGAAAUUACACCACUGCACUCCAGCCUGAGUGACAGAGCAAGCCCCUGUCUC